ensembl:lncRNA
UCCGUGCACGGCCCUCACUGGCUCCUGAAUGUGCAGGACAGUGUCACAGUGUGUGUGGGGGGGGGUGCUCCCUAGAAGCCAGAGCUGGCAGAGGCCUCCCAGACUGAGCCAGCCGCCUUCUUUCACCACCACCCAAAGGCCCUGCAGCUUGGCCAUGGCCAUCCUGGGUGUGGGAACCUUCAGAACAAGGGGUCCUGUCCUUGUCCAGUGACUCAGGUCGAUUCUGGCUCUUCUGCCUCACACAUCUGUACACAACUCUCAAGCACAGAGCCACACCUAGGGAACUUGUGGAAGGCAGUAUCCCCUGUACGGUCACCCCUCCUCACUCCUGAGUCUUGGAAUGGUCAGGAGUCACCCAGUCUGACUGCACCCACCCCAGCGGGCUCCAGGGGGCAGCCUGGCCUGGGCUGCACACAGUCACCCACCUGCACCCACCUCCCAAGCAGAUCCUCUGCCCUGGCCACGUUCAUCCCCACCUGCCCCUGGUCCAGCCUCCCCUGACCCUCAGUGCUCAGAAGCACCCCACCCAGGCCUGGGGCUCUCCAGCCUUCCUAGGAGGAGGCUCUCACAUGAGGGUGUGGCUGAUUCUACUCAGGUUUCUACAAACCAAACACCCCCAAACUGGAGCGAUUCCAGCAACACCUGGGGCUCAUUGUGCAUCGCGUGCUCCCCUCCCUGGAGAAACACCUGGAGAAGGAGGGUGUGUGCCUGGAGGACUCCACCACCCACUGGUACAUCCAGUGCUUCCUGGAUGGGGUGCCAUUCCACCUGGCUCUGAGAAUAUGGGAUAUAUACAUCCUGGAGGGCGAGCACGUGCUCCCAGCCAUGGCAUACACGGCCCUCAAGAUCCAUAACAAGCGCCUGCUGAAGAUGCCCCGGGACCACCUCCGGGAGUUCCUGCAGGUGACCCUGAAGCAGGCCUGGUCUCUGAGCGAGGACGCGGUCAUCAGGCAGCUGCGGGCCUCCAUGCGUGAGCUGGGGAAGCUCCAGUGCCUCCUGCCUCCCGAAGCCAAGGCCAUCGAACAGUGCAGCAGGCCCCUGGGGCAGGCACGCGUCCCCCAGAUGCACGUUCCUGCCCCCACUGCUCCGAAGGCCAGAAUCACCAUUCAGGACACAGUGGCAGUGUGGGAGCAGACCAGGGGUCCCGCUACUCGUGCAGUGAUGAUCCGUCCUCCAGGAAGCUUUGGCCUCCGCAUCGCCGAGAGGGAAGGCGUGGAGGAGGAGGAGAGCUGGGAAGGCAGCCCAGAGCCCCUCGGCCUGGGCUCCCCUGUGGGGACCGCAGAGUCUCCAGGUUCUGCCAGCCCCACGGAGUCUCCAAAGUGCUCGAGGUGGGGAGGCCUGUGCCAGUGCGCCAGUCUCCCUAACCUGAGCGGGCCAGAGCACAGGGAGGACGACUCCUCCGACGCUGGCAGCCGGGAGGGCCUGUGGAUGUGGGCUCCUCCACAGGCCUCAGAGCCCCCAGAACCAGGGCCCAUGCAGGCUGUCCCCACCUGGGGGCCACGGCUGAAGACUUCCCCCUACUGGCAUGGCAGCCCCACGCACUCUGGGGACAGUCACGGGCUGGAGCCGGCCAGAGCCAGCCCUGGGCUGGGAGACCAGGCCCGCGUGCCCUCCCUGGCCAGAGGCCUCCUUACCUCUUAUUCAACGGGGCACCUGGAUGAUGGGUGCCUCCUAGAAGAGAGGCCGAGUCCAGCAUCUGUCCUGCCCAGGCUGGGCAGCAGCCUUCCGUGUGUCUUCACGGCAUCCUAUGCACUUGGUUGAGCCCCCACCGCCCAGGCUCUUCCUGGGGCCAGGACACCCUGACACUGGAAGACAACAGCCAUGCCAGGAGCCACUGUACUCUCCUCCCCGCCCCCCUCCCCCACCGCCACCCUCAGGUGGUGCUGAGUCUGUAUUAAAUUGUUCCAUGGAAAGGAGUUUGCUCCAGUUUGUGACCCCGGCGCCCAGCGGCAGCAAGCUUCCCCGUGUUCCUGGGGAGAUGGGCAGCUCCACAGCCCCCAGCCCCAGGCAGAGACCCACUCAGGACCCUGCAGGCAAUGCCUGAGAUUCAGCUGUGCCCUGUGGGAACUGGGUCAGGGUGGGAGAGCAGCAGCUGUGAGUGCCCGUGACCUCUGGGACAGAUCAGCACAAUAGGAACAGCCGUGGUUGGAGGGCCUGUGUCACCUCUGUGCUCUCCCCUAGACCUGGGCGGCUGUGGCUGCAGCAUCCCUGGCUUGACCCCGCAUGUCUCUCACAGGUAUGGGAUACCUGUUGCAGACUGUAUGUUCCAGGACCUCAGGAAGGAAUUAAAUUCCUGUGGUGUAUACACUGUCCCGUUAUCAGGCUUUAUGUCCAGGGGACACCGAGGACCAGCAGGGCUGACUUAACCACCUUUAUCACAUUUCUAGCCUUUUCUCCGGAUUGGGCUGCUGCAAAUACAGCCUUUGAAUACGUAUCUCCCACCACAUGGACAAACUUAAGUUGACCAAAGGAGUUAAUGUGGGUGACGUCCACUUGCCAGAGCUUCUUAGGAGCAAGCCUCACGGGUUCACUCCUGCUUGUAGCAGUGUCCUGACGGGGCGAGGGGGCACAAUUCUUGCAAGAGUGCACUAGGUGUUUGCAUUGGCUCAUUGUUAGCU